GCUGGUGACAUUAGCGGAGGGGUCACACCCGUUCCCAUUCCGAAUACGGCCGUUAAGCCCUCCAGCGCCGAUGGUACUUGCGGGGCAACUCGCUGGGAGAGUAGGACGUUGCCAGCA
rfam:Omnitrophica bacterium RIFCSPHIGHO2_02_FTLL_51_18 rifcsphigho2_02_scaffold_2057, whole genome shotgun sequence.